GAUGAACGCUGGCGGCGUGCCUAAUACAUGCAAGUCGAGCGAACAGAUGAGGAGCUUGCUCCUCUGACGUUAGCGGCGGACGGGUGAGUAACACGUGGAUAACCUACCUAUAAGACUGGGAUAACUACGGGAAACCGGAGCUAAUACCGGAUAAUAUAUUGAACCGCAUGGUUCAAUAGUGAAAGACGGUUUUGCUGUCACUUAUAGAUGGAUCCGCGCCGCAUUAGCUAGUUGGUAAGGUAACGGCUUACCAAGGCAACGAUGCGUAGCCGACCUGAGAGGGUGAUCGGCCACACUGGAACUGAGACACGGUCCAGACUCCUACGGGAGGCAGCAGUAGGGAAUCUUCCGCAAUGGGCGAAAGCCUGACGGAGCAACGCCGCGUGAGUGAUGAAGGUCUUCGGAUCGUAAAACUCUGUUAUUAGGGAAGAACAAAUGUGUAAGUAACUAUGCACAUCUUGACGGUACCUAAUCAGAAAGCCACGGCUAACUACGUG
rnacentral:rRNA from 1 species